CAGCAGCCACGGUAAUACGGAGGGGGCUAGCGUUGUUCGGAAUUACUGGGCGUAAAGCGCACGUAGGCGGCUUUGUAAGUCAGAGGUGAAAGCCCGGGGCUCAACCCCGGAAUUGCCUUUGAGACUGCAUCGCUUGAAUCCAGGAGAGGUGAGUGGAAUUCCGAGUGUAGAGGUGAAAUUCGUAGAUAUUCGGAAGAACACCAGUGGCGAAGGCGGCUCACUGGACUGGUAUUGACGCUGAGGUGCGAAAGCGUGGGGAGCAAACAGGAUUAGAGACCCCCGUAGUCCCUGUCUCUUAUAC
rnacentral:rRNA from 1 species